AAAUGGGGAGCACGGAUUAGAUACCCUGGUAGUCCACGCCGUAAACGAUGAGUACUAAGUGUCGGGUUAAACCGGUACUGAAGUUAACACAUUAAGUACUCCGCCUGAGUAGUACGUACGCAAGUAUGAAACUUAAAGGAAUUGACGGGACUCCGCACAAGCGGUGGAUCAUGUUGUUUAAUUCGAAGAUACCCGAAAAACCUUACCAGGUCUUGACAUGUUUUUGCAAAAUGAUAGUAAUAUCGUGGAGGUUACCAGAAACACAGGUGGUGCAUGGUUGUCGUCAGCUCGUGUCGUGAGAUGUUAGGUUAAGUCCUAAAACGAGCGAAACCCUUAUCGUUAGUUGCCAGCACGUUAUGGUGGGGACUUUAACGAGACUGCCAAUGAUAAAUUGGAGGAAGGUGAGGAUCACGUCAAAUCAGCAUGCCCCUUAUGACCUGGGCUACAAACGUGAUACAAUGGCUGUUACAAAGGGAAACCUGAAAGA
rnacentral:rRNA from 2 species